AUGCUCAAUAUUUAUCGCCGAGAUGAGCUAUCUAUCCGCCACAAUAUCAAGAGUGGUUUCAUUGUAGAUCAGGUGCUUCGUAACACUACCGCUCAAAAGAUGGGCAUUAGAAGAGGAGAUGUCAUAGAUGUGAUGUCAUUGGAGCUUGGUACAACUUUAUCUGAGUUUGAAGACAAUCUUCUUGAAAUUAGUUGGCAGUUUCUGGAAAAGGAACUUGAUCCGAUUCUUGACCUGCAGAUUCAAGUCCACAAUCUCUAUGACAGAGAAAGCGUGUGUACUGUGUUGCCUAUGAGGUUCAGGAAUGCUACAGUGAAUCAACAUGAUUCACUUGAGUUCGAAGUUACCAAGAAGUGA
rnacentral:rRNA from 1 species